GGAGGGAUGGCCGAGAGGUCGAUGGCAACCGUCUUGAAAACGGUAGUCCGAAAGGACCGGGGGUUCGAAUCCCUCUCCCUCCGCCC
rnacentral:tRNA from 2 species